CAGUAGCCACGGUAAUACGAAGGGGGCUAGCGUUGUUCGGAAUUACUGGGCGUAAAGGGCGCGUAGGCGGCCAUUCAAGUUGGAUGUGAAAGCCCUGGGCUCAACCUAGGAAUUGCAUUUGAUACUGUUUGGCUUGAGUUCGGGAGAGGUGAGUGGAAUUCCCAGUGUAGAGGUGAAAUUCGUAGAUAUUGGGAAGAACACCAGUGGCGAAGGCGGCUCACUGGACCGACACUGACGCUGAGGCGCGAAAGCGUGGGGAGCAAACAGGAUUAGAUACCCCAGUAGUCCCUGUCUCUUAUAC
rnacentral:rRNA from 1 species